rnacentral:rRNA from 1 species
CCAAUAGCGUAUAUUAAAGUUGUUGCAGUUAAAAAGCUCGUAGUUGAAUUUCGGGAUUGACGUGACGGUCGUGCCUUACGGGGUAUGAACUGUCGCAGUUGAUUUCUCACCUUCUGGAGAAGCUCGAUGUCGUUAAUUGGGUGUCUUGCGGAACCAGGACCUUUACCUUGAAAAAAUUAGAGUGUUUAAAGCAGGCAUUUUGCUCGAAUACAUUAGCAUGGAAUAAUAGAAUAGGACGGCAUGGUUCUAUUUUGUUGGUUUCUAGGAUCACCGUAAUGAUUAAUAGGGAUAGUUGGGGGCAUUAGUAUUCAAUUGUCAGAGGUGAAAUUCUUGGAUUUAUUGAAGACUAACUACUGCGAAAGCAUUUGCCAAGGAUGUUUUCAUUAAUCAAGAACGAAAGUUAGGGGAUCGAAGACGAUCAGAUACCGUCGUAGUCUUAACCAUAAACUAUGCCGACUAGGAAUCAGACGAUGUUAAUUUUUUAAUGACUCGUUUGGCACCUUACG